rnacentral:lncRNA from 1 species
AAGAGUUCAGUUUAGGGUUUAAAACCCUAAUGCUGACUAAAGUAAAAGUUCAGUUUAGGGUUUAAAACCCUAAUGCUGACUAAAGGGAAAAAGUUCAGUUCAGGGUUUAAAACCAUAAUGCUGACUAAAGGAGAAGUUCAGUUUAGGGUUUAAAAUCCUAAUGCUGACUAAAGGAAAAGUUCAGUUUAGGGUUUAAAACCCUAAUGCUGACUAAAGGAAAAGUUCAGUUUAGGGUUUAAAACCCUAAUGCUGACUAAAGGAAAGAGUUCAGUUCAGGGUUUAAAACCUUAAUGCUGACUAAAGGAAAGAGUUUAGUUUAGAGUUUAAAACCCUAAUGCUGACUAAAGGAAAAGUUCAGUUUAGGGUUUAAAACCCUAAUGCUGACUAAAGGAAAGAGUUCAGUUCAGGGUUUAAAACCCUAAUGCUGACUAAAGGAAAGAGUUCAGUUCUGGGUUUAAAACCCUAAUGCUGACUAAAGGAAAGAGUUCAGUUUAGGGUUUAAAACCCUAAUGCUGACUAAAGGAAAGAGUUCAGUUUAGGGUUUAAAACUCUAAUGCUGACUAAAGGACGGAGUUCAGUUUAGGGUUUAAAAUCCUAAUGCUGACUAAAGGAAAGAGUUCAGUUCAGGGUUUAAAACCCUAAUGCUGACUAAAGGAAAGAGUUCAGUUCAGGGUUUAAAACCCUAAUGCUGACUAAAGGAAAGAGUUCAGUUUAGGAUUUAAAACUCUAAUGCUGACUAAAGGAAAAGUUCAGUUCAGGGUUUAAAACCCUAAUGGUGACUAAAGGAAAGAAUUCAGUUCAGGGUUUAAAACCCUAAUGCUGACUAAAGGAAAGAGUUCAGUUUAGGGUUUAAAACUCUAAUGCUGACUAAAGGAAAAGUUCAGUUUAGGGUUUAAAACCCUAAUGCUGACUAAAGGAAAGAGUUCAGUUCAGGGUUUAAAACCCUAAUGCUGACUAAAGGAAAGAGUUCAGUUCAGGGUUUAAAACCCUAAUGCUGACUAAAGGAAAGAGUUCAGUUCAGGGUUUAAAACCCUAAUGCUGACUAAAGGAAAGAGUUCAGUUUAGGGUUUAAAACCCUAAUGCUGACUAAAGGAAAAGUUCAGUUUUGGGUUUAAAACCCUAAUGCUGACUAAAGGAAAGAGUUCAGUUCAGGGUUUAAAACCCUAAUGCUGACUAAGGGAAAGAGUUCAGUUUAGGAUUUAAAACUCUAAUGCUGACUAAAGGAAAAGUUCAGUUCAGGGUUUAAAACCCUAAUGCUGACUAAAGGAAAGAGUUCAGUUCAGGGUUUAAAACCCUAAUGCUGACUAAAGGAAAGAGUUCAGUUUAGAGUUUAAAACCCUAAUGCUGACUAAAGGAAAAGUUCAGUUUAGGGUUUAAAACCCUAAUGCUGACUAAAGGAAAGAGUUCAGUUAAGGGUUUAAAACCCAAAUGCUGACUAAAGGAAAGAGUUUAGUUUAGGGUUUAAAACCCUAAUGCUGACUAAAGUAAAAGUUCAGUUUAGGGUUUAAAACCCUAAUGCUGACUAAAGGAAAGAGUUCAGUUUAGGGGUUAAAACACUAAUGCUGACUAAAGGAAAAGUUCAGUUUAGGGUUUAAAACCCUAAUGCUGACUAAAGGAAAGAGUUCAGUUCAGGGUUUAAAACCCUAAUGCUGACUAAAGGAAAGAGUUCAGUUCAGGGUUUAAAAAGCUAAUGCUGACUAAAGGAAAGAGUUCAGUUUAGGGUUUAAAACCCUAAUGCUGACUAAAGGAAAAGUUCAGUUUAGGGUUUAAAACCCUAAUGCUGACUAAAGGAAAGAGUUCAGUUUAGGGUUUAAAACCCUAAUGCUGACUAAAGGAAAAGGUCAGUUUAGGGUUUAAAACCCUAAUGCUGACUAAAGGGAAAAAGUUCAGUUCAGGGUUUAAAACCAUAAUGGUGACUAAAGGAAUUC